rnacentral:rRNA from 1 species
UGGGGAAUCUUCCGCAAUGGACGAAAGUCUGACGGAGCAACGCCGCGUGAGUGAAGACGGCCUUCGGGUUGUAAAGCUCUGUGAUUCGGGACGAAAGGCCAUAUGUGAAUAAUAUAUGGAAAUGACGGUACCGAAAAAGCAAGCCACGGCUAACUACGUGCCAGCAGCCGCGGUAAUACGUAGGUGGCAAGCGUUGUCCGGAAUUAUUGGGCGUAAAGCGCGCGCAGGCGGUCACUUAAGUCCAUCUUAGAAGUGCGGGGCUUAACCCCGUGAUGGGAUGGAAACUGGGAGACUGGAGUAUCGGAGAGGAAAGUGGAAUUCCUAGUGUAGCGAUGAAAUGCGUAGAUAUUAGGAAGAACACCGGUGGCGAAGGCGACUUUCUGGACGAAAACUGACGCUGAGGCGCGAAAGCGUGGGGAGCAAACAGG